rnacentral:tRNA from 1 species
CCCUGACCGGCUCAGUUGGAGGAGCACGUGACUCUUGAUCUCGGGGUCGUGGGUUCAAGCCCCACGUUGGGUG